GCUUCUCUUAUGACACCUCCUGUUAUCCCAGCCCAGUCACAAUGAGAUUUCUUUCUUUCCAGGCACUGAAGAAAAAGUCUAAACCCUGAGGAUGUAUAAGAAGGUCAGAAAACAAAGCUACUGUGAGAAGUGCUAGCUACAGUGAGAAGUGCUAGCUAGUGACAGAGUGAGAAGUAUGUUGAAUUGUUUGUGAGAGGGAUUUCUCCCUCCAGAGGAAUCUUCUGUCUCUCUGUUGACUGUGUCCAUGGUGGACUGCACCAGACAUUGACAUCCCUAACACAGGCUGGAGUGCUGCAAUGUGAAGUCUGCAGGAUGGAGGCGUUUCCUGAGUGCUGGUAUGCAAUCAGAUGCUCCGACCAUCUGGUUUGCCUCAGCAUGCUUGAAGUAGACAGCUAGUGCUAUCACCAGCACAGUAUAGCUAAAUCACCAUGGCAAUUUUCAAGGUUUGAAAACCAUCACCUUGGCUCCUUCCUGAGUCUAGUGUUUUCAAUACUCACCUUCAGCACCUGGUAGCUCUGCUGUAUGUAACUGCUUCACCAUAUCAUCAAGGUGGUUAUUUCUUCCUUCCAUUCAGCCCAAAGAAAGGCUGCUUACUAAACCUAUUAUAUAGAACUAGAUCAGAAUGUAUCUUUCACUCCAAGAAUUAGCUGAUGGCAGCUGAUACCAUCUGACUAGCAGUAUCUCACUCUGCAGAACUCUUGUACAUGGUAGUAUGGCACAUAUAUUAUUUCCAGAAAGGAGCAAAGCCUAGGGUCAUAUUGUAGUCUUUUCUCAUCUGAUUUAAAAGAACUGCUUUCCAC
rnacentral:lncRNA from 1 species